CCUGGCACUUAUGAAGAACAAUAAGAGCUGUAGAAAUGUUACUGCAAGGGUUUCAAGAACAAGUUUUUGAAAUAAGGUGUUCUUACACAGGACAGCACUGAAGAAACAUUUAAAUCCUCCUGGAGACACUAAGCCAAUGCUUAAGAGCUUUUGGAAAUCAGGGCAUAGGUGAACAUAUUUUUCUUUCUUUCUGAAUAUGCUUUCUACUGUCUUCUUGCAAAUGAGCUGCCCUGCAGAAAAGUUCAGUGGCAAAACUCAAGCCAAACUUUCAGAGGAUUUGUAGAAACAAGAAUUCAGAAUUUCUGCCAGAGACCUGAUGCGACGAGUGAUAUUCAUCCAGCCAGGAGACUGUGCCAUCCAGAAUGUGUCUAGCAGAAUUUCACACACAGCAAAGUGCUCUUGGAAAUGUUCCAGGACAAUAAUUAUUGGAUACCAGGGAGCUGCAAAUAAGUGCUAAGAAAUGAGGAAGCACAGCACUUGCACAAGAUCUCAUCCUCUGUUCUGGCUGCACAGAAUGCCCUUUGCUUUGGCUGCUGUGGCAAAAUCUCCAUCUUCUCUUUCCAUGGAAAGGAUUGGGUGCUGGGAGAUGUUUUGUAGUUUGCCCAAGCCCUGAAGCUCCUUCCAAACCCAGAGACUAGGCAGAGGCUGCAGGAGUCCCAGCCACCUCUCAUCAGAACAAAGCUUUCCCAUGAUGUACAAGGCUGCAACCCAAAUCCAGCUGCUCCCACGGCAACAGAAUAGGGUCCAACCAUGCAGGCAGAGAUACCAGAGAUGGAUAUCAGCACGAUUUGUAUUUGUAAGACACACUGAUGUUGCGAAUGAAUUAACCAAGGAACAUAAUGCUUCACUGCCAACUAAGAGCUAAUACUUGAAGUUUAGUGCUAUUACACUUAACUUAUUUCGGUUGGAGCUCAAACCAUGACACAUAGAAGAACUGAUACCAGUGAAGGAGAUGGAUUUCUUGUCAAGAACGAGUCUCGCAAUUCCUUUGCUCCAAGGAAAUUUGAAUGAAGAAACAUUCAGUUUGGAGACAUGCCUAUUCUACUUAGAGAAAGUUAAAAAAUGGAUUGAGGAAAGCAGACAGAGCUAGAAAACAUUGCAAAGAAAAAUUAUAAUUUUUAAACACAAAAUUCAGGUUUAUGAAUUUCUCCAUGUGAGUUUUUGCAGUGGUCCAUCCAUACUCUUUGGGACAUUUCUUCUGGACUUUACACCCAAAGCUCUUGCAGGACAAGGAUUUGUCUUGCUUGAAUGGUCUAGAUCUGCUUGUGAUUUCCAGUGGGCUCCCUUGGUGACUUUUAGCACAUGCUUCUGGUGCUGGAGCACAAUCACAACAGUGACCCUCUUUUAGACUGGAGCUCAGUAAGAUGCGGGCCCUGACAUAGAUUUUGGGUGUGCCAACAUUCCCAAAUCCCUUGAUCUAUGCCACUUAAUUUUAAGCAGUCAGUAAGACACCUAAGGAGGGAGCCUAAUUAUCCUAAGGCACCUUUCACAGUCAGUGAGGUGAUCAAGGUGUCACCAGCACAUGAACCUGAGAUGCCCUGCAGUGCCCUCAGCUGACUCACCUCCCUCAGAUACAAAGAGACGCUUGGCAGGAAUGCCAACAGCAAAGGCAGCAGGGAGAGGCAUCACCAGAGCAGAGCUUCAGGUGAAGCUUUGUUCCAGACAAGUAACCUGUGGCAGUGGACUCAGCCAAGAGGGUACUGGCUGUGAGUGUGUAGCACAGACAAUGAGAGAAUUGGUGAGGGGAGACCAGCAGAAAAUCACAGCAACAAGGAAGAGAGAGCUCCAGAAAUACAAUCCAAAUAUUUCAGCUCUGUUUCAGCAGCUGUCUCAGAAGACUCUGUUAAAGCAGGAAUUUUUGUGCUGCAACUUGUUACCUGAAAAAUAAAUUGGGAACAAGAAGAGGAAACUGAGUUCUCAGACCGGUUUAUCUGUAUGAGAUGCUGACUUUUUUAUGGACACAGAAUUUCAGAUUAACAAGUAGAUAGAUGCUUCUGACAUGUUUUAAGAGAGGCUCCAGGGACAGAGGUUUUGAGAGCAGUGUGUGUGUUUAAGUGCAGCUCCAUCAGCUUGGAUAAAGAGAGAUUCAUUUCAAAUGAGCCAAAUGGGGAAGAAAUGAGAGGCCAUUUCUGCACUUGCCUUGGCCAUGGCUGUCCUUGUUAUCUGUAGUUCUGAGCUGGAUUCAAAGUGCUUAUUCAAACCAGUAUAAUCACUAUGAAGAAUGGCCAUUUCCAGCUUUAUUUAUUCAUUUAAUCCAGUAGGUAAUGCUUGAGGAAAUAACCACAAGAGGUCUUAAUGUAAUAGGCAUAAGUACGUGUGUAAAUAUUUUGCUGGUUUAUGCUGAGAAACAUGGACUUUUUGGGACUGUGUCUUUACCAACAAGUAUGGGAAUUCUUUGAGCUUUAUCUUUUUUUUUUCUGUAUGUCUGUCUGCACUUCCUGUAACUUUUUACAUGGCCAAAAAUAAACCAGAGUUUAAUUUCAGACUGGAAGAGACUAA